rnacentral:lncRNA from 1 species
UUUUACGCAGGGUACAACUCAUGACUUACAAUCUUUUGGUUGCGAAUGCCAUCUUUGCUUUUGACGGAGUUUAGCUGGAGCUCUUUGAAUAUGGAUGAGAUUGCGUUCACGUGGUGGAAGAAUUGGUAUUCGUGUCACAAAAUGAACAAUUCUCUUUUGUUCUUCUACUGAUUGCUCUGACUGUUUCUCUUCUAUAUCUGAUGGUCAUAUGUCUUCCUCUUUCUUCAUAAGAUUCUUUAUUUGUUUAUCUAUCCACGCUAUUCUGUGAAAAUUCUUUCCUCAGUUUGGGUUUCUCUUUAUUUGUUCUUUUCUGCUUCAUGUACAGAUUUCUUUAUAUUUCAAGUUUGCGGAGUUUGUUGCUACUUCUGACAUCACAGGUGAAUGUGAUCGAUCUGAAUGGUAUUUCUUGCUCUUUCCCAUUCUGCUUUUUUUGUACGCUAUACACGUAGCCUAAAAUUUGCUGAGUAAGCGCCAUGACCUGCACAGCCUUUUCAUUGUUUCAUCUGCCUUACUCUACUCCAUCAUCUAUUCACCUAUAUACCUCUUUAUUUUCCCUUUAUUUCUCAAUUUCUCUCUGUGAAUUCUCUUGUUGGCAUAUGCAGAUACUUUAUCCAUCGUUGUGCAAUUUUCUUUCUUUAUUGCACUUCUUCUACUGCUAAUCUAAAUUUUGGUUGGUAAAUGUUCGUUUUCUGCUGUUUUGCAUAAUUGUUGCUAGAAUUUUUAUAUACAUAUCAGUAAAUAUUCCUGAUUUCCACAUUUACUAUGUGUUUUUGAUGCCAACUAAUCACUUUAGGAUUAAACAGUCCUAUCAAAUUUUUGUUGUUUCAAUAUUCGUUCAAAGAUUGGAUCUCUUAAUUUACGUUAUUUUUUCUGCAGAUUAAUCUGUGUAAAGAUGCAAUUCUGAAUUGGGAAACGAGCACGGAGAGAAGGAGGACGGGCUGAUCUGUUGUUACCGCCAAUAUACGUCUAGUAUGAUUGCUUUACCAGGUUGAGUUUCAAUCUCUGUUUUUUCCUUUUUCAUAGAGUGAUUAUGAAUAAUAAUAAUAAUAAUAAUAAUUAUCAUUGAAGCGACCUAUGCACCCACAGAGAUGAUAUGCCUGACUCAUCAUUUUUAGAGUGAAGUCCACAAUUGUUAUUUCAGAUUCCCCGUUAGGAGACCUGGGCUUUUUGAUACUCAAGAUUGUAAUUAGCUGCUCUGAAUGCUUCUUUACCUGGGAAAUUUUUUUAUAAGUCAAUUUGUGUUUCGCUUAUACUGAUACACUCUACUCUAGAUUAACCUAGGUAGGUAAAACUAUUGUAUUUCUUUUUCAUAUUUCAUGGAGUUGUGGAGAUACUUCAUUUUUACAUAAUUCUAUUUAUUAAUCGAGAAAACAGAGAUUUCUUUAGAUUUUCUAAAAGUAGAGUUUAACAUUGCUUUAAAUGCAGGAGGAUAGUUUUAAGAUUUUCAAGUAGUUCAAAGAUACCGUAAAAUUUUGCAAAUUGCCUACAAUUAAGGCUUGGUAGUUUGACAUUUGAAAAAACCAUAUCAGUUGCUCUGCCCUCCUUUGCUAUUCAGGUUUGCAAGUUCCAUACUUUGUUGUAGGAGAAAGCUCUUCCCUCUCUGGGUCAGUUGCAUGUACAAUUUUAACUGACUUUUUCCAAAAAAAAAUCUUUGUUUCCCCCAACUUUUAUUAUUAUGUGUUAUUUAGAUUUAAGAUUGUGUUGGUUUUUUUUUUUUGUGAAAUUGAUUGUCACAAAGGAAAAAAGAAAAGAAUCGUUGAAAGUUGGGAGAAUUGCAUAUAAGCAAAAUUAUUAGUACAAAUUACUGAAAAUUUGUGUGUUCGUUCAAUGGAGUUUUUACUUAGAAGUUUUGAAUGUGUGUUUGUAAGAGGGGUUGAUCGAUGAAGAGAGAAGUAUUAUGUAUUCAUGCUCAAAUAUUUAUGCCCUUUUCGGAUCUUGAGAAUCCAAAAUUUCCAAGGUGUGAAGAUUAUUGUUAGGCAAACUGCAAUAUUUUUUUGGGUUAAUUCCUUGCUUGGCACUUGGAAGGUUGUGAAGGAGAAUGAGAAAGAAUUAAGUUUCUUAUUUCCCUUCUCACGAGGCAACCAAUGGUGCAGCCAUGGCAGUUUUAACUCUGCUCUUUGAUUAAUCAGAGAAAAUCUGAGCCUUUUCCAUACCUCAGUUUAACUUUUGUUUGAACACUGAAGCUGUAUGUUGGAGAAGCUUUCUGGGAAUAAAUUUGAACUGAAGUUAUUAGUUUCAGUCUUAAAACUGCUUUGAUUUUUGAACUUUUUCUGCAAUAGUUGGGUUUUCAUACAAAAGGUAACAAAAAUGUCAUAAUCUAGCGUCUUAAUAUUUUCAUGUCUCCUAUAGUUUUGAAUUUUUGUAAUUUGUCCCACCCCCGUAGCAUAUGUAUUGUCCUCUCAUCAACUUAAAAGUAUUUGAAAUUUGAAAGUAAUUUUUAUUUGUCUCUGUGGUAUAAAAGCUUUAAUAUGUUUAGUAAUUUGACUAUUUUUUUUUUAUAAAAGUUACAAAUCAGUAUUUAGAAGCUUCCUUCGUCCUUGUGCUCCUCUUUCUAUUCUACACUAAAACAAUGAGAUUACAAGGAUAAACUUAUGAAUCAACAUACAACAUGUUUAAGCGCACAUUUGAUUGUAUGAGUUAGAAAGAUAGUCAUUCCAUGUGCUCACAUAUUCAAUGUUCAAAAUUUCUGCCAUGUAGAUAACUAAUUUCUAUAAGAAGUUAAGCUUUGAAUAUUCUAACGUUGAGUCAUUUUAUUUCUCUCUUGGACCUCGCCAUCUUGCCUUCUGUCUUGAUGACAGACUAUUUCCCUUGACUAUGUCUGUUUCUUCGUUUUCUUUCCGUUUUAUCUAGAUGAGAUAACAUAGUUUAAAGAUUUAUCAUUUGCUAAUUGAUGAAUCAGACAAUACUCUCAGAUUGUAGUAAGUGUUUAUUGGACUAUUUAAUGUUCCAUAUAUAAGUUCAUAUUGACAAAGAAAAGUUUAGUUUCCUUAAAGCAUCAUUUUCUAUGUUUUAGUCUUUUGAAGCAGUAACUUUAUUUUGGAGGAGAGCGGAUGUUGUUGCCUCAAGCCAAUGCUUCUUGGGAUUUUUACCCACAAGUAAGCUUCUAAAAAACUGGGAUAGACUAUGCUUUUUUAGAGAAACAUUUAUGAUCAGUUCUAAUUAAGAUUCCUCAUAAAAACUUCCAUUUUCUAUAUAGAGUAUGAACUGCAUUUCCACCAAUGAAAAUCAUGAUUUUACGUUAAAUUGGUUGCUUUGAUUUUACCAAUAAACUCUUCAUCACAAUGUUGUAUUUAAGUAAAUAAGUUGCCGAAGCUGCACAAAAUUGAAAAAAGGAUCCUGAUAUUGCUUUUAUGGCAUUGAAAGUAUUUUCUAGAGUAAAUCACUGUUUAAAAUUUCUUUUAAGACUUUUCCUAAUAGUGUCCUUCUGGACUAUUUUAAAUUCAGGUUACAUCUAUCAACCUAUUGAGUAAUAACUGAGUUAUUCUUCAACUUUGAAGGGUAGUGACAUCACGCUUCUGCUGGUGGUAACAUUGUCGCUACCUGUAAUUCUCUAAAGCAAG